rnacentral:tRNA from 1 species
GGGCUCGUAGCGCAGAGGUCGUCUGUCGUCGCGCCCGUCCGUUUGGCCGGAGGACGUCGGUUCGAAUCCGACUGAGCCCC